GAAAUCUAAUUAAAAAUAAUGCAGAUCUAGAUAUUCGAUCUUCUGGAUUCACUUGCAUCUAGAUCCAAACAGAUCUUAGAUUUGAGGUUCCGGAUCAACAUUUUGUAAAAUACAGAUACGUAUUUUUUCAAAAUCGGAUCUAAAUCUUUCGGAUCUUAGCGGAUGCGGGUUGGACCCUGAUUUUUUUGCCAUCCCUAACUUAAAAGAUCUCUUAUUAGAUAAUAACUCCAAUUUAGAUCAUGUAAAGAUUAACUUAUUGACAAGUUAUGCACAUAAAACAACAAAAACACUUGUGACGUAAAUUACAUAAACUUUGACAGGCUAUAUAUUUGUAUCGAAAUCUUAUAAAUAAUGAAAAAGAUUUGCAUACUAUAAAAUAAAUCUAAAAAUUAUUAAAAAAAGAUAAAACAAUACUUAUUUUCUUAUUCAAUUUUUUUAAUUUUUUUGUUAUUUAAAAAAUUGGUUGGUGAAUCAAUGUAUUUCUUUUCAUAGUUGGAUAAAAAAAUUAUACAUCAAUGACAUAUUUUUUUUGUUACGUUUAUGCUUAAUUUUGAGAAACCAAAACCACAAUUAGAGAUUGCGUCUUCAAUCAAUUAUCCAGAAAAUGAAAAUGAUGGAUUUUGUAGUUCCACGCAUCAGUUAAGGAGGUCAAUGAAGUCAACACUCAAAAGUUUUUCCACAAAGAUUAAUGGACAAAAUUGACCUUUGGAUUUUUGGAUCUUGAGCGAGUAACCAACUUAUUUACUGGGCAUUAUCUCUCCGAAGAUAAUGUCGGUGUCAGUAAAUAGAAAAGUCGAUCAAUUCCAAAUCAAAGCAACAAACUGUGCUUUUCAAUACCCAUUUGUCAUAAUAAUGUGCACUUUGAUGAAGAGGGUGGCAAUAGUAUUGUUUUGUCAAAUCAGCAAUUGAAUUUAUAUGCUUCGUUUAGCUUCAACGGAAAUCUACAAAGAAUAUGAACCGUCACGAUAUUGCAAAAUGCCAACACAUCAAUCCUAAAAAUGUAAUGCACGACGAUUGACGAAGGAAAAAAAGAAAAAAGGAUGGCGUCUUUGAUCAGUUAAGGAGGUCAAAAGAGGCAAGUCUCAAAGUUUUUCCACAAAGAUUAAUGGGCAAAAUUGACCUCUGCUGACUAACAAAAUUGUUUGCUGGCCACUUGUUUCUCUGUGUUAGUAAAUAGAAAAAUCAAAGCAACAGUUAGUGCCUUCCUAUACCCUUUGGUUACGUUUGGCACAUAAUUGGAUUGAUAUGAUUAUUAAGAUUGGACUGGAUUAAGAUGGAUUAUAUUAUAUUUUGUAUUAUGUUUGGUACAAUAUCGAAUUGGAUAAUGUUAAAUCAUAUUUAAAUAAAAAAUAUUUAUGAAUAUUUAAGAGUAAUAAUUAAAAUUAAUUUAAAGGUAAUUAACAAGAGCAUUAAAUAUGUAGUAAAUUAGUUAUUGGGUAG
rnacentral:lncRNA from 1 species